UACAGGGGGUGCAAACGUUGCUCGGAAUUACUGGGCGUAAAGCGCGCGCAGGCGGUCCUUCAAGUCAGGGGUGAAAGCCCAGGGCUCAACCCUGGAAUGGCCUUUGAGACUAGAGGACUUGGGUACGGGAGAGGUGAGUGGAAUUCCGAGUGUAGAGGUGAAAUUCGUAGAUAUUCGGAAGAACACCAGUGGCGAAGGCGGCUCACUGGCCCGUUACCGACGCUCAGGCGCGACAGCGUGGGGAGCAAACAGG
rnacentral:rRNA from 1 species